rnacentral:lncRNA from 1 species
UUAGCUUACGAGCUAAAGUUACUUAGCACAGAUGAAAGUUAAAACAAAGACGUUUAGCAAACUGUUAAAGCACACAAACCAUCGUCAUAUGAGAAAUCCGACGCUAUGACUCUCCACAAGUUGUCCUUCAGGUCGUUAUCUUUGUUAUAUUUGUGUCUUUAAUCAAAAAGCACUCUGUUCUCCGACACGUAAACAAUCAGCCUGUCGGCCAUGUUGGAUAUACUGGUGAAUCAGACGUUGCAACAACACGAAAUUUGGUUUGUCAAAAGUGGACACACAGUAUGCGACACUUUAAAAAAUUCGACCGUGAUACGAAAAAAUGAGGAUGGGAAAACGAUGCUGAUGUGAACGCUUGUAAUGACAGGAUACGGGUUCGAAAAAAAAUAAUAACGUCUGAAAUAAUUCUAGGUGAUAAAAUUCUUUAAUUCAUUCAGGAAACCCUUUAAAUCUGGUAUCCUUAUGUUCUGUGUCUUCAUGAGAUUACCCAAUGAUUCUGGGACCCUGUCAGUUUCUUCCCCGCUUAUCCACUUACCCUCAAAACAGCCCUUAAAAUAAAGUAUUUUUCGAAUUCGGCUCUUGCCUUUUUCCUUUAGUGGUUCAAGUUUGUGUAAUAAAAUCACAAGAGGACACCCUCUUACGAAGGGACAAAAAGUUCCAGUUCAUAAAACCUUGUUGUCGAAAAAGGACUCUGCGCAGAUUUUCCCCUCCCCUGAAAGUAUCUGAGGAACAGACCUGUAGAAAAUGCUGCUGCAACAAGUUUUCUAUUCUCGCCGUGCAGCAGCUGCUGCUUGUUGAGCAAGGUUGGUUCGGUCAACCAGGCAGCAGAGCACCUGGUAUGUGUGUGAACUAGAAACCCUGCAUGAUCAAUGAGCAGUCACCAAUUCCAGUUGUUCUCUCUCUCUCUCUCUACCGUCCCCUUGAACGCCAUCCUUUCGGGUUCAUUUGGACGACUUUUGCAAUUUACCUGCUAUUUAAGUCUGGAGAGUAAAUGGGGCGGAAAUAGCCGUGAUCUUUGCACUGACUUGAUUUCAACCACCUGAUCUUGGUAAUAAAAGCUCAUCUUGAGAGUUGGCGCCUGUUGACUUCACAUCCAUCAAAUACAUUUCCAGUCUCACAUUCUACAAAGGCUUUCCUGCUUAAUUAUUGAUGAUAGUUCAAAAUCACAGUGACAAAUAGAACCGUAGUCGGGCUAAAUGUAGAGCCGAAGCUUUACUUUGCCUUUUGUUCACAGUCGCUUUGUCUGAAAUCGUCACAUGGGGUACCUCUGUUCUGCUUUGCUCCUUCUAUGGUGGCGUGGAUGCUAUUUUUAGCGUGCAGGUGUUGAAAAGGCUUCGCAUCAGGGGUCAGCUGUAAUGUCACAAAUUCCCGUGUUAAUAUAACUGACCCAUUUCUUUGUCUAUGAUGUGCUAGAUACAGCACAAAGGGGGACACAUUAUAUACCUGAUCCCUUGCAGCAUGUACUUGUUAGCACAGCCAUGGUGUUAAACUCUUCUUCAACCCUGUUUCUUUGGAUUCGAAAGGGAAUCGAUGAAACAUUUGUGACCUAAGGUUCCUGCUCCAUAACUGCUGCAGCUGCCAGAUUUGCAUUGAUGCAUAUUGUUUAAUACUUUGGUGAGAUCAAGGCUGAAAUUGACUUCUCAUCAGGCAAUGAUGCAUUUUUAUUGACUGGGAUAAUGGCUCCUGACUGUAAUGGCUUUUCGCUCCAUCUUACCACCAUCCUCAUUUUCCCCAACUUUCUUUUUUUCAUACAACCUCCCCCCCUUUUUUUUUCCACGCACUUCACUGUGCCUUAUGUUACAUCCAUUAAGAAACCAAUUUCAGCCAUAAUUUCCAAAGCGCCAACUUUUCAGGUGUAAGUGCUACAGCUAGCAUCUUGUCUAUAAUUGCGGCCUAAUUAAAUCCCAUCAUCUCAUGAGCAUCGUUCGGGAGGCCAUUCCAAAUUUCAUCAAGAAAACUUAUAAUCGUGACUUUGUAGGGAUUUCCAAUGCAAUUAGCUUCACACAUGGCGCAAAAAAAAAAAGUCAAUAAGAAUUUGAGAGGGGUUUCUAGCCUCUCAUUAUUGAUCUGUUGUGGACUGGCUGCCAUUUCUCCUCUAGUUUUAUGUAUUUUCAUGUUCAUAGACAGUGGUGUACUCAGGCUGUUUGAAAGCUGGGGCAAAAAUGAUGAAAAGGGCACCUAUAUAUGCCACCAGUGCACAGAGAGAAAGUUGUGCUUAACCUUCAGAAGUCCCAGCUAUAUUUUGCAAUUUUUGGUUCGCCUUUUUGUUUUAAUCUAAGUAGCAACUCUAUCCAUUCAAGCACAGCAAAUAUAUACACAUCUUUUUUUUUUUUUUCAGGACAACCUCAGCUGUCGGAAACGGAAAUUGAUCCCAACAGUACUUUGCACAAAAAACACAUAAAUCUACAGUGACUAAGCCUUUUCUCACCUGUAUAUCAUUCUGUUAAGUCUUGGCUAUCAGGAGAAGAAAUAUUUGGAUUGGAACAAACACACAACAGAAACUAUUUACAUAUUUACACAAAUUCUUACAGGUGUUUUUUGCUAUUUACAGUUGUUUAUGUCACUCCUUGAAGCAGUUCCUGUCUGGGAUGAGACAGAGGGCCACAUCAUACUGCUUGUAAUCUCUUCUUUGCUUGUUUCCAAGCAUUGAGGACCAUUAUUUCUUAUUUUGCAGACAAGCAGGGAACUUUCUUGUCUCUUGUUGAUCUUUGGUUGCCUCUUAUUGGACACUAUUGUCAAGGGAACAAUAGAAGAAGAAUAAAAGACCAUGUAAUUGGUUGAAAGUUUGACAGAAAAAGACGCAGUCGAAACAGCUUGUCAACCCCGGAAGACAUUAGUGGCAUUUAGCGAUAGUAAUAGCCACCUUUUUUUAUCACAACAAUAUGAUAAAUAAUCAUGUUUUCACCGGUAUUUCACUGCGGAUUUACCAUCAAAAGUCUUUGAUCAAACACCUAUUUUUGUGACUGGAUUGCAAACCUUGUGGGAGGUGUAGAAAUGCCUGGAAACCCUCGAUAGAUUGCCAGAAGUGUAAGCUUUGAACACUAUUUACUCCAUAGAGAUAAACAGUAUAGUUACCGAGAAACUGUGAACAAUAUUAAUGGUGUCACGUGAGCUUUCUGGGGAUCCAGCGGAAUUCUAAAUGUUACUGAAGAUCUGCCUCCAUGAGAGUUUUAGGACUGUUUUGGACUAUCCUUUCAGCCGGCAUGGGGCAGUAUUUUUAUAUUUUAGAUACUUAAAGUGCAAUCAGUGUGCACUUUUUAUAUAUUUCAAAAACUGAUGGCCAUACUGAGAGCAAAGUGAGGAAGUCUGGAAAGCUCUCAUUAAUGUUAUUGUUUACAGAAAGAAACAAGAUCCAGGGGGUACUUUUCCUAUGUUUAUAUACUGAAAGGGAAUUCAGAGGGUAAUUUUCAUAUAUUUUUGUACUAAAUGGGCAUCUAACGGCCCAUAUUGGAUGCCGUAUCAGCUGGGAUAGCAAUUUCCCAUGCAUUUUACAUGGAGAAGGCAUCAAAGAGGGCAUUUUAUAAUGUUUUAUUUGCGUCAGGACUGACCCGACUUAAGGUCAAUCCAUGGCAUUUUAUUCAGACUGAGUUUACCAGGAGAACCCCCUGCCUCGUUAUGGGUACACCACUGUCCUCGGGUAUAUAAACCAGGAAAUAUGAGAUGUUAAUUACAAAUAUUGCGUCUCAAGGGAUGUCUCACUGAUAAACACAGUUAUUCACUCUUCCAUUUAAGUACACAAGCCUCCUUUCUGUGCGCAAGCUUUGAAAUAAGGUGGGUGUAUUUCUCACUUCAUACUACGAAUAAAGCCUCCCAAUAAAAGAGUAUCUAUCUUUACCCCACUGCAAACAUGAUUUCCUCUGAAAACUUGCCGGCCACCUUGUCUUCUGUGACCUGCUCUAUCUGACUCAAUGAGAGAUUUGUCAUGUGCCUUAAUUUAGAUAUUCUAUAUUCUGGGUUCCCGGACCCACAGGGAAGGACAUAAUUGAAUAGGCUGUGUCAAAGCCUCCCCCAACUCCCCAAAAACCUCCCAGGGACGGGCUAACGUUAAUUAUCUCCCAAUGCAAUAUGGCCUAGUUUUAUAAUUACUGGUCCUGCCAAAUAUAUUACAACAUACUAACCCUCUCAACAGACGGUUAUUCAUGUAGCAUGUGCGAUUCAUAGGCAUGUGCUGCUUCAGGAUUUGCUUUCUUACCUUAUUUACAGACCGGAUAACACUAUUUGUGCAGUAAGAGUUGAUUGAAUUGCGUGUCACAAUCCCAGACUGUUAGCUAAAAAUCUAAGACAGGCUGUUCAUUAGUUGUACAUAUCUUAUCAGCACGAGUGUCCUCAUUUCAGCAUCAAAGGAGAGCUCUGUGGAUUUAACAUAUUGAGAUUAGUUUACUUGUCAAAGGGAGUCAGCCUGUGAAACCAGUUGUUUAACGUCUCCUGUGACACUGAGGGAGAUUAUGAAGCUUGAAACAUGACUUAGAGUCUACAGGCAUGCUGGUUUCUCCGAGAGGCUGGGGCUAGACACAGUGGUGCUGUGAGCAACAUGAGGACAUCAGCUUGUGAACUAGAUAAAAACACAGUUCAGCUGUUUUUAAAGGGAUAUUCCGGGGUAAAAUUAAUUUAGGGUCAAACACACCGUAACACUGAGUUAGACACCCCAUCGAGAGAUGAAUGUUGCCAACUGCUUGCUUCUCUAGUCAUACCAACUUUAGUAACGACCGCACGAUAGCAAUGCAGAGAGCCACGCGCUCAACCAAAACGCCACUCUAUAGCCACAAAUAAUGCUCAGAGCAGCACCUAACUUCAUCAACAGUACAUAUAAGGUCCCAGCCACAGUACUAGCCACCAAACAUCUUUUUAACUUUGUCUAAUUCCGUCGGCAAAGAGACUCAACACAACUCACCAUCUCUCUUCCAGCAGCCGUUUGUUUCCUUAUAGAAAUGCGAUCAGACAGAGACGCUAAGGCAAAAGAACUACCGCAUCUGCAGCGCAAAAUGAUUAAGAUGGUGAUUACUACUUCAGGGAAAUAAAGUAAUAAUCAUAAAUGUUCUUCCUUGAGCUGCGUCACCCCAAUGCACUCGAUGGACUCGCCCGUAGGUCUCCUUACAAAUUAAAUUGCUGGAAGAGAGUAGGUGAGUUGUGUUUAGUCUCUUGGCUGGGAUCCUAUAUGUACUGUUGAUGAAGUUAGGUGCUGUUCUGAGUAUAGAGUGGCGUUUUGGUCGAGCAUGUAUUGCUAUCUGUGGUUGCUACUAAAGUUGGUAUAACUAGAGAAGCAAGCGGUCGACAACAUUCAUCUCUCGAUGGGGUGUCUAACUCGGUGUUACCGUGCAUUUGACCCUAACUUAAUUAUACACUGGAAUAUCCCUUUAAUGACAGCUGUUUUAUCUUUAGUUGAGUGCUUAAAAUCAUUACGGUUCAUCAUCUGGGAAUUAUGAAUCUCCUUUGCCACCCUACGUACAAUGCAAACCUUGACUCAAAUGAUCCUAAAUCUGGCGUAGUCCAUCCUCUUGGGACAAUGGACAAGGUUAUUAGGUUAAUCAUAAGGGUUUAUCAUCUGGGAACCAUGACUCUUCCUAUAGAUAUGCUAAUCAGUUCAGGAGAGACAUCCCCUUGGUUCAAAAAAUCCAGCCAACAUGUAGCGCUAAUGAUCCUAGAACCGCCAGGAUCCAUCCUCUUAGGACAAAGAAAAUAAAGAAUUUUAUGGCAUCAAGCAUUUGCUGAACUAUGUAAGCCAAGAGGUAAAAAAAAAAAAAAAAAGAUGACGUAACAAAAUAGAAGUUUUACUUAAAUUCUGGCGCUAACGGUUUUGUCAGAGGAUCACUUACAAAUCAGUAGGGUUCAUCUCCUGAGGCUCUUGAUUUUGAGUAAUGUCAUGGUAACCCAAGAGCAGGGUUUAUUAGAGUGCUGACCAAAUUUCCACUUGCUUGCAGUAAUAAAAGAGAAGCAAGAAGACAGCAAUAGUCUGUGAGAGUUAUCCUCCGGAGAGCGGGGUUCUUUUCAGGCACUACAACAGCGAUCUAUAUUUUUAUUGCAUGUGUUUAUAUAAUUGAGUCUCUUUUAAAGCGAAAAUCAACAGCAAGUGAAGUUUUGGAGCGUCAAGAUUAGUAGGAUUUAUCCUCUGGGGACUGAGUGUAAGAAAUAUUAUGGCAAUAUGUCCACUAAAUGCUUGAAUAUUGAUUUAUACCGACAUUUGAACAGUACUUCACCCUAAUCCACUGCUUUAUUUUAUGAAAAUGUAGUCCCUAUAUGCUGUUAAAUACCAUUCUUUCCAGCAGAGAUAUCAAACGCUCCCCAACCUGGAAAAGCAUUUGACAAAGUCGAGCAGCUUUGUUCUUAUUCUCUGACACCAGCCUUUUGUUUAACUUGGAAGCCAAAAUGGUCACAGGGGAUCAAAUUAUUUCUGUGUCUGGACUGAGACUGGACUUGGAUGGGUGGCGGAUAUCCAGUGCUGAUUAAAAACGAACAACAAAAUCACCCCUGGACUCUCCGAAUGGAGACCAUUGUUGCAUUUAAGACCUUCUAUGCAGUAAAAGGCUGCAAGUGGAUUUGGCAUUUAACAUAUGGGAUGGGAAUUUUUAAUUAAAUAUUCAACAGUUUAAUGAAUUAUUCUGUAUCUCAUCAUUUUUCAGACCCGGGGGUAAAACAGACGUGUUACACCUCCAUAACCAGACUGAGCUUUCAUACAUAUGGUUAAGAUCCAAACACUUUUAUUUUACAGUAUUGUGCUGUAAUUAGCUUGCUAGCUCCCUAAACAUUGCAGCAGGGUUUGGAAAACUAUAACAGCAUAGGAAAAAAAAGUGAAUUCUAUUAAGUUUUCAAAGUUAACAUCAACUGCUGUUGGCUUUUUACAUGCAUUUACCGCAAUUACAUCUUUAAAUUUAAUUGGCAGCCUCUAUUUCCUCUUGGGAACAAAUAGUUAUGUAAUUUUUAGUCAUAUUUCCCCACUUUACGGGCUGUGUUUGCACGCUAACAACCCAUUAAACCUUCAAAACCAUUAAUAUUCUGUAUCAUUAUGUCACUGCAUGUUUAGCAUAAGUGCCACUUAUUGCACUGUUGGCUCAAGUGCUGGGAAGUAAAUCAUUCGUGGCAAUUUUUACCAUCAGUCUCUAAGAGUGGGGUUGGUCCUAUAGGUAUUGAAUGGUUUAUGUGCAUGAUGUGAAGCUUUUAUAUCCAUUUUGUUGUUGAUCUCUUUAUGUAAAAUCAUUCUGCACCCAGAUAAGAGUUUGGAAGAACAAUUAUUCCCAAUCGCCUCAUCUGGAUUCUAUAUAUUCAAUAUGAGCUUUCAAUGGCUGUUUAAUUGGUUUUAAUGUAUCUGUGUGAGUAUUCAUUAUCAAAGAUCAAAAAGUAUCCAGAUAAGAAGGUUGGCAUCUUGCACCAAAGCGUCCCCGAUAGUAAGUGCAAAUCAGGUCUACUGUGUCUACGGCUAAGCCCUGUGAGCAGUGGAAAGACCAGAAAGAAGCUGUAAAAGGCCAGACCAUUUACCAUUUAUAGGCUCCUUCAUUUCUUCUGCUGUGGUCCCGCAGCACUUGCCUUACAUGGUAAGGCCAUAUUAUAUCCAGUUAACCCCAAGUCUUGAUUUAACUGCACUCAUCCCCGAAGCAAUGAUCUAUAUCGAGCUGAGCCUUUUCACCUCGAUUAGCAUAAACACUCGCUAAAUGGAAGAAUAAAGUCUCCAUUAUGCCCUACUUUUGGAAAAUCAGAUUGCGUGUUAGAUUUUGUAAAUGUUUUCCUCUCUCAGCCUUGAUACUGUUCGUUUUUUUAGUUUUAUUAUUUAUUUAUUUUUUCUCUUGCACUGAUCAAACUGAGUAAACUGCUGCAUUCAACCUUUUUUACCCAGAAGGCUGUUAGCUUUUGUUCCUCAGAAAUGGCCUCAGGUGUUCUUCGGGGUAAAUAAGGGCACACUGUCAUAACGGCGAAGCUGCGGGACUUCAGAGAGGUCACAAAUGAAUCAUCCUGGUUCAGCGUGAGGUUCAGAGCAAAAAUAAUAAAUAAAAAAAUAAAAAAAAUAACACCUUGUAGGAUCACAGGAGGAAAGUUAUAUGGUAGAAUUACUGCUCUACUUUGUUUGAGAUAGAAGUAUAUUAGACUUUAUCCUUUUUGCUUAUUGUCCUCCGUAACCAUUUUGUUGCUUAAAAUGACUGAAUGGGUGAACGGGACUUUACAAAAGCAAAAAAGUACACUUCAACUUUGUUUAUUACAUACUUUAACUACACUUUCACCACACUUUAAAAAAGUUUAAAGACUUCUUAAAAAAGUUCUAUGAUGCGACUAGUACAUAAAAUGUAGAGAAACACAUUUGCAGUAUAACAAUAUAUUGAAUAAUUGAGUAUGUUUUUGGUGUACUGUGCUUGAUUUGCAUAUUGUCCUAGUUUUGCCUGCCUACCUACCUACCUACCUACCUACCUACCUACCUACCUACCUACCUACCUACCUACCUACCUACCUACCGAGGUACUCUUUUGUGUGUCUUGCUUGCACAUCUAUUCUUUGUAUUAUUUCACCAGACUGAGCCAUCUCUUGAAAGACCCAGAUAGUACAAAAAAGUUGAAAUCUGCUUUUUCUCUUCUUUAAUAAACCUAGCAGUAACCAUCUUUCACACUGUAAUUAAGAAUUGGGUUAACGUUUCAAGGAUCUUACUUUUUCUAAAUAGUAAUGUCUGAAUUAUUUCUAUUUUUAUUGGAUCCAAGAUCCAUUUGAUUGAAAUGCAUCCUGUUCACAUUGUAGAAAAUAAUUUCAAUACAUCUACUCAAGAAAAGCUGACCACUUUUCACUUCCACAAUCAAGUAGCUCUAAAGAACUUUCUCCCUUUUCUCAUGAAACUCAGGUCACUUCUUGCUUUGAUACAAAUGUGUAAAGGUGAAGGUCACUGACCUUUGACCACUAAUAUUCAGCCAGAGGUUAGUUCAUCCCAGCCUCACAGGAUUUUUACCAAAGCCCUUUGACUUUUCUUGGGUUUUAACUGCGUAGUUAAAAUAAUUGGGUUUAUUUCAGACUUCAAAUCUUGAACUCAUCGUCUGUGUUUGAAUCAUAAUGAUGCUGAAAAAAAUAAUGAUUCUCCAGAUUUCAUAGAGCAUCUGUUUCUAAAUUCUUUGGCUUUGUCUGCUCUGAGGUUUCUGCUUUCCUAUGAUACAAAGAAGGGGUGAGAAGUCCAAGGAAAAAGGUUCGGAUUUACUGCUGAAGAGAAAAUUAAUCAAGGAACCCAGACACUGAACUUCUGUUUUAGCCAACAUGGUGGGUCUCAGUUUCACUGUGUAAAGGUCCUUACACACCGGGAACGACGCAAAGAUUUUGCGACUUUCUGGAGGGAAAAAAGACGCGUCCUGGGUGGAAGCGAGAAGACUGACACAACAGCAGACUGACUGUUUUUCAGUUCUGAUUAGACACUAGUGUUGAGAUGUCUGUCUGUCAUGAUAGCAUGUACUGAGUCGGGGCCAGUACCAGAUAAGCACAUUAAACUAUAAUCCAUAAACGUAAGGUAACAACCGAGACCUAAUGGUGCUGUGACAGCAACGCGGUUGAGUUUGAGACAGUGAAAAUACAUAUGGUAUGUUGUAUCUGAACAGGUUAGCUUAUGAGCUAAAGUUACUUAGCACAGAUGAAAGUUAAAACAAAGACGUUUAGCAAACUGUUAAAGCACACAAAACAUCGUCAUAUGAGUAACGCUAUGACUCUCCACAAGUUGUCCUUCAGGUCGUUAUCUUUGUAAUGUUUGUGUUUUUUUAUCAAAAAGCACUCUGUUCUCAGACACAUAAACAAUCAGCCGGUCGGCCAUGUUGGAUAUACCGUCGCAACAACACAGAAUCUGAUUGGUCAGAAGUGGACACACAGUAUGCGAAACUUUAGAAAA